rnacentral:rRNA from 1 species
GACGAACGACACGAACGUUAUUCGGAAUUACUGGGCGUAAAGCGUGCGCAGGCGGUUUGUUAAGUCCGCUGUGAAAUCCCCGAGCUCAACUUGGGAAUUGCAGUGGAUACUGGCAAGCUGGAGUAUGGUAGAGGAAGGUGGAAUUCCCGGUGUAGCAGUGAAAUGCGUAGAGAUCGGGAGGAACACCAGUGGCGAAGGCGGCCUUCUGGACCAAUACUGACGCUCAUGCACGAAAGCGUGGGGAGCAAACAGG